GAUGAACGCUGGCGGCGUGCCUAAUACAUGCAAGUCGAACGCAUUGAGAGAAGUGCUUGCACUUUUCAAUUUGAGUGGCGAACGGGUGAGUAACACGUGGGCAACCUACCUGAUAGCGGGGGAUAACGAGUGGAAACAUUCGCUAAUACCGCAUAACAAUAGAGAAGGCAUCUUCUUUAUUUAAAAGGCGCUUUCAAGCGUCACUAUCAGACGGGCACGCGGUGCAUUAGUUAGUUGGUGGGGUGAAGGCCUAUCAAGACGAUGAUGCAUAGCCGAGUUGAGAGACUGAUCGGCCACAUUGGGACUGAGACACGGCCCAAACUCCUACGGGAGGCUGCAGUAGGGAAUCUUCCACAAUGGACGAAAGUCUGAUGGAGCAACGCCGCGUGUGUGAUGAAGGCUUUCGGGUCGUAAAGCACUGUUGUAUGGGAAGAAAUGCUAGGCUAGGAAAUGAGCUUAGUUUGACGGUACCAUACCAGAAAGGGACGGCUAAAUACGUGCCAGCCGCCGCAGUAA
rnacentral:rRNA from 1 species